rnacentral:rRNA from 1 species
UACUGGGCGUAAAGAGCUCGUAGGUGGUUUGUCGCGUUGUUCGUGAAAUCUCACGGCUUAACUGUGAGCGUGCGGGCGAUACGGGCAGACUAGAGUACUGCAGGGGAGACUGGAAUUCCCGGUGUAGCGGUGGAAUGCGCAGAUAUCAGGAGGAACACCGGUGGCGAAGGCGGGUCUCUGGGCAGUAACUGACGCUGAGGAGCGAAAGCGUGGGGAGCGAACAGGAUUAGAUACCCUGGUAGUCCACGCCGUAAACGGUGGGUACUAGGUGUGGGUUUCCUUCCUUGGGAUCCGUGCCGUAGCUAACGCAUUAAGUACCCCGCCUGGGGAGUACGGCCGCAAGGCUAAAACUCAAAGGAAUUGACGGGGGCCCGCACAAGCGGCGGAGCAUGUGGAUUAAUUCGAUGCAACGCGAAGAACCUUACCUGGGUUUGACAUGCACAGGACGCGUCUAGAGAUAGGCGUUCCCUUGUGGCCUGUGUGCAGGUGGUGCAUGGCUGUCGUCAGCUCGUGUCGUGAGAUGUUGGGUUAAGUCCCGCAACGAGCGCAACCCUUGUCUCAUGUUGCCAGCGGGUAAUGCCGGGGACUCGUGAGAGACUGCCGGGGUCAACUCGGAGGAAGGUGGGGAUGACGUCAAGUCAUCAUGCCCCUUAUGUCCAGGGCUUCACACAUGCUACAAUGGCCGGUACAAAGGGCUGCGAUGCCGUAAGGUUAAGCGAAUCCUUUUAAAGCCGGUCUCAGUUCGGAUUGGGGUCUGCAACUCGACCCCAUGAAGUCGGAGUCGGCUAGUAAUCGCAGAUCAG